rnacentral:tRNA from 2 species
GGAGGGGUGGCAGAGCGGUCGAAUGCGGCGGUCUUGAAAACCGCUGAGGGUGCAAGCUCUCCGUGGGUUCGAAUCCCACCCCCUCCG